CUCCUCACACCCGAGCCCGACGCCGUCUCCCUUCUUCCUCCUUGCCCUAACCGCCGGCGGCGGUUACUUCUCCCGAGCCUCUUCUCUUCUUCUCCGGCCCUGCCCAAGCGCCGGCAAGAGCAAGCCAUUGCCGGCGAUCCAUCCUCUGCCCUAGCCCUGGCUGACCCGCGGUUCCUUCUCUUCUUCGGUUUUCUCCGCACGGCAGAGCACCCCGACCAAGCACCAUCUCAUCUAAUCAGAAACCGUGCCCUAAUCUCCGACUUCUUCAUCGGUUUCACACCUCAACGCCGCUGUCUCUGCCCAAACCUCCAGCUGUGUGCCCUAGUCGAUCUUGGAGGGGGUCUUGUUGUGGAGUAUUUUUAGUCCAGCAGCCAUCCUGUGUCCUGCAGCCACGAUCCUUGUUGUUGAUCAACAAGAGGCAGUGAAUUGAGGAUUUUGACGCGAGACGAGUAUCUCGGAGUCGGAAUUGGACCACUUUAUUGGAGGCG